rnacentral:rRNA from 1 species
UGGGGAAUAUUGCACAAUGGGCGCAAGCCUGAUGCAGCCAUGCCGCGUGUAUGAAGAAGGCCUUCGGGUUGUAAAGUACUUUCAGCGGGGAGGAAGGUGUUGUGGUUAAUAACCACAGCAAUUGACGUUACCCGCAGAAGAAGCACCGGCUAACUCCGUGCCAGCAGCCGCGGUAAUACGGAGGGUGCAAGCGUUAAUCGGAAUUACUGGGCGUAAAGCGCACGCAGGCGUUCUGUCAAGUCGGAUGUGAAAUCCCCGGGCUCAACCUGGGAACUGCAUCCGAAACUGGCAGGCUUGAGUCUUGUAGAGGGGGGUAGAAUUCCAGGUGUAGCGGUGAAAUGCGUAGAGAUCUGGAGGAAUACCGGUGGCGAAGGCGGCCCCCUGGACAAAGACUGACGCUCAGGUGCGAAAGCGUGGGGAGCAAACA